UCCCCAGACUCCUACGGGAGGCAGCAGUGGGGAAUAUUGCACAAUGGGGGAAACCCUGAUGCAGCGACGCCGCGUGAGCGAUGAAGUCUUUCGGUAUGUAAAUCUCUAUCAGCAGGGAAGAAAAUGACGGUACCUGACUAAGAAGCCCCGACUAACUACGUGCCAGCAGCCGCGGUAAUACGUAGGGGGCAAGCGUUAUCCGGAUUUACUGGGUGUAAAGGGAGCGUAGACGGCUGUGCAAGCCAGAUGUGAAAGCCCGGGGCUCAACCCCGGGACUGCAUUUGAAACUGCGGGGCUUGAGUGUCGGAGAGGCAGGCGGAAUUCCUAGUGUAGCGGUGAAAUGCGUAGAUAUUAGGAGGAACACCAGUGGCGAAGGCGGCCUGCUGGACGAUGACUGACGUUGAGGCUCGAAAGCGUGGGGAGCAAACAGGAUUAGAUCCCCCCGUA
rnacentral:rRNA from 1 species